CCGGAAUCUCACAAAAAUAAGAAACAAAGUCCUUUGAAUUUAGUAAUCGGGGGGCUAGUAUGAACCUUUGCAGGAACUGUUUUAAGGGUUGAGGGGGUAAAAGCUAGCUUACAGGGGGCAAUGGAGUGAAUGGGUGGAAGAGAUGCAGAGCCCUCCUUAGAAAAGAGGGCACCAGCAGAGAGGAAGAGGAUGAAAAGAGGAACGAUUUGAGAGCCGGGAUCCAUCCUCUGAGCCUGGCUGAAAGGAGACAAGUGGAUAUGACUGGAGAUGUCUGGAGGGAGGAGGGUGAGACACAGAAAAGACUCUCUUGUGAUGCCCUUUCCGAACCCGAAAAACUUGGAGGUUUACAAGUGGCGAUGGCUUCCAAGUGUUGCUUGUCCAUAGGUCUUUUAUCAUCUCUGGA
rnacentral:lncRNA from 1 species